GAUUUGUUCAAUCACUAGAGAAUUAGUGGGACACCCAGUUUCUCUCUUUUUUUUCUUUUGUUGUUUUUUUAUUUUUUUUUUUAUUUUUCAGGAAUUAUAAUUUAAGGUUAAUAUGUAGAUUUAGCACAACAUGGUAUUUAGAACUAAACCGUUUACACUACAUGUGUAUCAGUGUUAUCGUGUCUAUUCUGUAAACUAUUUAAACUGAUUUGUAAUGUUACACUCCUGUGAACAGUCUCUGUGGAGAUUGUAUUUUUAUUUUUAUUUUAUAAUGAUUUGUAAGAUGUGGAGACUUGUAUUUGUCCACUCACUAGAGAAUUAGUGGGACACUCAGUUUCUCUCUUUUUUUCUUUUCUUUUUUUCUUUUUUUUUUUUUUUCAGUAAUUUGUAAAAUGUGGAGACUUGGGUUUGUUCACUAACUUGUCGGCUGGUGGGACACUCCCUACUUCUCCCAUUUAAGUUGAAUUUUAAUUGUGUUUACAUGAUACAACACUGUACUUGCUUCUUUGCACAGCGUAUCAGUACGCAAAAGCCUCUGUUUUUCAGGAUGGUUGUUCAUUUAAAGGAGGGCCUAAACCAAAGUGCAUCUCUAUAGUAUUUGUGGAUCAAUCCCACAGAAGGAGUGUAGAUGCGCUCUUAAUACUUUUUUCCUAGUUCCAUAAAAAGGGCUUUAACUGGGGGGCAGGCCGCUGUGUAAGUUUGUCCAGAAAUGUGUUUGAGUCAGAUCCACCGUGUCCCUGGUGAGUAAAGAUCAAUACUAAUGUAAUAUUUGUAUUAAUUGCUAAAGACUGUUGUUUGCUUUUAAGAGAAAGGUGCGUCUCUGUUGGAGCUAUCCCUGGAGUCAUCCACAAAAUGCAGUGAACCACCACCAGAGGGAGCCCUGAUUCUAACGUCAGAACACAAGGAUCCAUAAUCAUCGUCAUCUCUGCUAAGAGGUCUACAGCUACAAUGACAGAUGAUCCACAGACCUCUGAUCCAAAAACAUCCCUGGAGUGUGGCCCAUCAGAUGCUGUCACCCAUAUGAGAGGAAGAGGUGAACGAGACCUGGUCCAAUAAGAGACUCGGGCCAACACAAGGGAGAAGGCCUUCAGUCUGUGUAAUCUGCUGUGACUCUGAAGUUCAGUCUAAUCAAAACUAAAGCACCACUCCUGAUGAAGAUCUCCAGAGGAACGAGAACCUCCAACAAAACUAAAGCACCACUCCCGAUGAAGAUCUCCAGAGGAA